UUUAAGUGCAACCAUGAGUUUUCGUGUCUAACUUUAAUCAUCCGUCUUAUUUAAAUUUUUUUAUAAUUAGUAUUUUUAUUGUUAUGAGAUGAUAAAAUAUGAAUAGUAUACUUUACUCGUAACUUAUGUUUUUAUUUUUUUUCAAAUUUUUUUAAAUAAGACGGACGAUUAAAGUUGGACGCGUAAAACCAUGGCUACACUUAAA
rfam:Oryza glumipatula chromosome 3, whole genome shotgun sequence.